rnacentral:rRNA from 1 species
GAUGAACGCUGGCGGCGUGCCUAAUACAUGCAAGUCGAGCGAACAGACGAGAGUGCUUGCACUCUCUGACGUUAGCGGCGGACGGGUGAGUAACACGUGGGUAACCUACCUAUAAGACUGGGAUAACUUCGGGAAACCGGAGCUAAUACCGGAUAAUAUUUAGCUUCGCAUGAAGCAAUAGUGAAAGACGGUUCUGCUGUCACUUAUAGAUGGACCCGCGGUGUAUUAGCUAGUUGGUGAGGUAACGGCUCACCAAGGCAACGAUACAUAGCCGACCUGAGAGGGUGAUCGGCCACACUGGGACUGAGACACGGCCCGGACUCCUACGGGAGGCAGCAGUAGGGAAUCUUCCGCAAUGGACGAAAGUCUGACGGAGCAAUGCCGCGUGAGUGAAGAAGGUUUUCGGAUCGUAAAACUCUGUUGUAAGGGAAGAACAAGUACGUUAGUAACUGAACGUACCUUGACGGUACCUUACCAGAAAGCCACGGCUAACUACGUG